rnacentral:rRNA from 1 species
CCUACGGGUGGCAGCAGUGAGGAAUAUUGGUCAAUGGACGAGAGUCUGAACCAGCCAAGUAGCGUGAAGGAUGACUGCCCUAUGGGUUGUAAACUUCUUUUAUAUGGGAAUAAAAUGUUCCACGUGUGGGAUUUUGUAUGUACCAUAUGAAUAAGGAUCGGCUAACUCCGUGCCAGCAGCCGCGGUAAUACGGAGGAUCCGAGCGUUAUCCGGAUUUAUUGGGUUUAAAGGGAGCGUAGGUGGAUUGUUAAGUCAGUUGUGAAAGUUUGCGGCUCAACCGUAAAAUUGCAGUUGAAACUGGCAGUCUUGAGUACAGUAGAGGUGGGCGGAAUUCGUGGUGUAGCGGUGAAAUGCUUAGAUAUCACGAAGAACUCCGAUUGCGAAGGCGGCCGCCUGGCCUGUUACUGACGCUGAGGCACGAAAGCGUGGGGAGCAAAUAGGAUUAGAUACCCGUGUAGUC